rnacentral:rRNA from 1 species
CCUGGCGGCACUAGCGCGGUGGUCCCACCUGACCCCAUGCCGAACUCAGAAGUGAAACGCYGUAGCGCCGAUGGUAGUG